GCCCCCUCGCGGGGCCGCCCCGGCACUGCCGGUGUCUCCCACCGGUGCGGGGGCCUCGGGCGGCGCCGCUCGUCGGGAGAGAGACGGAACGCACGGGGUACCGGGCUCGGAACGCACGGGGCACCGGGCUCGGAACGCACGGGGCACCGGGCACGGAACACACCGGGCACCGGGCACGGAACGCACGGGGCACCGGGCUCGGAACGCACGGGGCACCGGGCACGGAACGCAGCCGGCACGGAGCUCACUGGGCACCAGGCACGGAUUUCACCGGGCACCGGGCCGCCCCGGCGCGAGAACUUGGACCAGAAGAUCUGGGGGAAGUACCAAUGUGCUAAUAUUUAUAGGAUGAAAAUGACAUGUCUUGUGGAAUUGUUCAAUUUGACAGUAUCAGCCCUGGACAGAAUAAUGGAAGGGUUGGCCACACAUUAUCAGAGGGAAUGCUGACUGCCAUUAACUCUACAGCCAAUGUAUCUUUCCAAGAAAUGUAAUUUAUGCCUGUUUGGAAUACCACCAGUGGAGGACACACUCAAGCUCCACAUCAAGGGAUGCUGAGCUCCACCUGCCUUCCUUUUGCUCAGUGGGAGCACUCUUCAUCUGCUCACCUACCACAGAGCUCCUGGGCUACCUGCUGCUUUCCCUAUUUUAAGGACACAUUACCAAAUGUAUCUGUUGCAUUUACAUUCAGUGAUUCUCUUAAUUUUAUGAAUAAACAUGGAUUAUACUCAUAGCAUGGUACUCCUGAUAAACUGAGACUGCAAGUGCUGCUGUGUUGCAGAUCCAGGAUGAAUGAAGAAUGUUCAGUUGCUUAAGAUCAUAUUUUGCCUUCAUUAAGGAACCACAGAACCUGGAAUGGGACAACCACCAGUACCAGUGGAGGCUGGGGAUGGAGAUAUUGAGAGCAGUCCUGCCAAGACUGGGGAUAUGAGUGGAUGGAACACUGACUGUGAGCCAGCUGUGUGUGCUGGCAGCCCAGAAAAUCCAUUGGUUCUGGGGCCAGCUCCAGGGAGCUGAUUCUUCUCUCUCUGCCCAGGUGGGACUGCCUCCAGCUCUGGGGACCAGCAGGAAGGAUGGGGAGCUGCUGGUGGGAGCCCAGAGGAGGCCAUGGAGAUGGUCCCAAGGCUGGAGCCCCUCUGCUCUGGGGACAGCCUGGGAGAGCUGGGGGAGCUCAGCCAGGAGAGGAGGGGGCUCCCAGGACACCUUGUUACAGCUUUUCUAUACUUAAAAGGAGCUUAUGAGAACAACAAAGGUACUUUUUAACCAAGGCCUGUAGUGACAGGACAUGGAAUAAUGGUUUUAACCUAAAAUAGGAUAGAUUUUGGCAUAGCAGAGAUGUGAUCACAUAAUUAAGGUUGGGGUUUUUUUGUUUGCAAUCCAUGAUAAUGUAACACUGAAUAUUCUUAUCCUUGAAAAACUCUAAUCCUUGAAUCUUCUUGACUCUUCUGUUUAAUUAUGUCUUGUAAUCAUAAGAUCUACAGUCUAAACACACAUAUAACUGUGGGUUUUAUCUUCAGAAUUUAAAUGACUCAGUGAUGCAGUUGCUAGCAGUCACAAAUCCCAAACCGACAGAAAGAGUACUGUGAAUUGGACUGUCAUCUUGUAAAACACAUGCCAUAGAACUUCACUGAAUUAUCUUUUCCUUUAUUUAAUAACAUAUAUCAGGAAAAGAAAACCCUACCCCACAAACAAAACCCACCAAAACAUAAACAAAAAAUUAAAACAAAAAGAAACCCAAAGCAAAGCCCUUGACAAGCGUGUUUUCACUGAGAAGUUACCAGUCACUAGAAAUGUACAAUAUCGUUAGUUAAAUUGCUCAUAUUGUUAAUUACUUAGGCUGUUAAAUUAUGUAUCCUGCUUUUGAUAUGAAUUGCUCUGUUUUAUAAGAUUGCAUCCAGGAGAGUUUUGCAUUCUGUUACAUUCAAUCUAAAAGACCAGUAAUUGUUCAAAACACUUUUUAAGAAAUCUUCCCUAAAUAUAUCUACUGCAUUGGAUAUGUACCAAAUAUUUCACCUCUAAUAUGGUAGAAUUGAUUAAAAAUUGC
rnacentral:lncRNA from 1 species